AGCUAUUCUGCCACCUAGACCAGACUUUUCUGGUGGAAUCUCCUGGCCUCCUAGUCAUGCGACAUCCUGUAACUCAGGUGUUUAGUGCUGCUUAUUGCUGGAACCCUCUUCGGUUCUCUGCACAGAAGCGACGCUGCCAGUCUCCCAAACGAAUUCCAAACCAGAAGAACCAACCUCCCUAUGUGUGAUAACCCAGACCGCACCCUGUAACUCCCACACCACUGCCAUUAGCAACAUUGCCUAAGCCUCACCAUUUUUACUGG